AGAGAGAGGCAGAGAGUGGUUGACGCCACUGCAUUCUCACCAGAUUGCAUAAUUAAUGGAAAUAAAUAUAAAUGACGAUUCUUUCUGAAAAAAUAUAAAUGUAAACGUGUGAAUACAUUGUUAUUUCUCCAAGUGUGGACGUUGUUUAGUGAAGCCAUGUGAUCACAAAUAAAUGGGAGAAAACGCGAUUGAAUAGGCCUAUGAACAGGUAUGAAAAAGAAGACAUGCAUGAAAGAGAUGAUGGGAUAUAAAAGAGCACAAGAUCUUAUGAGUUUUGUAAUGAGGAAUACUACGCAAGAUCUUUGCGUCGUGGCCAGUUGUUAAUGACUGGAUGCCGGUCUCGAGGGAUCGCCCCGGUUCUGUCAUACUGGAAAACAUCCUCAGGACUGUGGGCCAGUGAAGCUCAAAGAGUCGCAAACACAGCCUGGAGUGGAUCCACACAACACUGGCCGUGUCUAACAGACCUGCUCUCACCCCAGGAUCUAAUUACUUACUCUCAUCUCUCCUAUCAUCUCCCGCUUCCUCCAGCAGGGUCCCAAGGGUCUCUUGAGCUCAGACCCACACAUAACACACUGACAUGGGGGGAGAGCUCAACCUCUGGCCCGACAACUGCUAGAAUCCAUAUGAAAGCAUCUUAUAGUUCAUACAGAGGCUGAUAUUUUGUCUUGAUAAUGUUAAAUGAAAUCUGAGAUUUAUACUAAAUUGGUUAAUACUUUAGGCUA